rnacentral:misc_RNA from 1 species
AAAAGUCAGGGUCAUCAGUCAUGUAGCAAAAUGGUUCAACUUGGAAAACCUAGCAUUUCAGGUCCAGAUUUACCCUCUAUAAUUUUGAGAAGCAAAGUGCCAGAGCUAUACAGAAACGGGUGCACACAGAGAAUUCGUGCUUGUGAAGGAAACCUUUUAGAUGGAGAUUUAUCUGUCUCUAAAGGAGUUGAAAAAAAUAAAAAUGAAAAUGGUAAUGCGGUAGAUGAAGGUGAAGGGAUCUAUUCAGCACCUAUUAAUAAGAUCGAUGAUGUGGUUAAUCCACAGGAAAAUAUUCAACAAGCAGAUGGCUUGCUUAGCAGCUGGCACAUGCUGACAUCUUUUCGCCGAAAAAGAAGAAGAGCUAUAAGAAAUAGAAAAGCUGGUUAUCCUUCACCAGGAAGCAGUCCUGACCAUUUCCUGAAUAUUGAUAAAACGUCGAACACUGGUAGCUUGACUGCUCACUCCAGCCCUGCUAGCGAUGGUGCUCCUGAUGAAGAUCCUUCGCAUAUGGGCUAUGGU